AUCUAUUAGUGCGUCAUUGUGGUUCAUGUAGUUUAGUGCCCUUAUCCUUGCACUGUCGUAUCCCAUAAGAGGGUGUCGUUAGGGUUUUUAUGGUCUGAGCUACAGUGCGUGUCAUUGUCCUCGAUGGGCCAUGGUGGGGGUGGGAGAGAGAGGAAAGAGUUAAGGGGUAGCAGCAGAGAAGGCUACUGAUAAUGUGGCCGUGUUUUGUGGUUGGCCUCUAUUCGAAGCGGGUGUCAGUG